AUUGAACGCUGGCGGAAUGCUUUACACAUGCAAGUCGAACGGUAGAGGGAGCAACCCCUCGAGAGUGGCGGACGGGUGAGUAAUAGAUUAGCACGUGCGCAAUCGGGGUGGAUACGGUAGAGAAAGUUAGGCUACGACCGCAUACGAUCCAAGAAUGAAAGCAGGGGAUGACGAGACCUCGCGCGAUUGGAGCGGCCGAUAUGAGAUUAGGUAGUUGGUGGGGUAAAGGCUCACCAAGGGAACGAUCUGUAGCUGGUCUGAGAGGACGACCAGCCACACUGGAACUGAGACACGGUCCAGACUCCUACGGGAGGCAGCAGUGGGGAAUUUUGGCCAAUGGACGCAAGUUUGAUGCAGCAAUUCCGCGGGCAGGAUGAAGGUCCUCGAGUUGUAAACUGCUUUUGUACGGAACGAAAAGGUUGCUCGUAAUACGUUGGGCUUAUGACGGUACCGUAAGAAUAAGCACCGGCUAACUACGUGCCAGCCGCCGCGGUAA
rnacentral:rRNA from 1 species